GGGAAGCCACAUCUUUCUCGCCCACCACUGCAAUUCAUGGAGCUCACUGAGGGAACCCUCCCCCAGCUCGGUUCCUGGGAUGUCUCUGGUUCCCAGGAGGAAAUGCCAUAAGACAUGGAGGCUGGAGCCACGGCCAAUUACAUAACUGUCUGUGCUAAGGGAGACCAGACUCUAAUCUUUGGCCUGGACAUGUUCAACAGGCGCCUAUCAACCUGCAACUGAUCAUUAUUCAUGGCUGACUGCUCUUCCAUCUUCACAUUCAUUAGACGAAACCCGGACUCUGCGAUAGAUAUGAGACCUGUCUGGGAUGCUUCAAUACCCCCUGCCCAGUGCAUGAUGGGAAAACCUCUGGCCGGUGGUGUGCACAGACUCUCUCUGUGGCAGUGAUUCACUGCAGAUCCUUUCCCAGAUGGUCGGAGGCCAAACAGUCUACCGGAGGGAUCUUCCUGAUUAAAUAAAAAGCUACAAAGAUAAUGCAUCAUCCCAAAAGUUCUUGUUUAAUUACUUAUAAGUGAUCUACAAAGUUUUAGUAUAUACUCUAUUAACAUUAAUAAAGCCUUCAGCUACAACAUAUACAAGAGGGACAUUUUGAAAGUAGUAGCGGGUUAUGGUCAAUUUAUACUCUUCAGGUUGCAUCAAAGUAGCACUUGAACUACCCAGAGAGCACUUUUAGGAGCACUUGGGCAGCCCACUCAAGGGGUGAGGGCCCACUGAAUGAAUGUUUGAAUGCAUAAAUGUUAAUUUUGAUGAAUGACAACAAUCUUGAAAGAGAAGAUCUGUGGUUGAAUUGGA